UGACUUUAAGGACAAUUCAUUGUAUGAUGUAGAUAACAUAGGUUCUAGAAACAAAGUUUUCUUUACGUUAAUGAGAAAUCUCUUAACCGAAAAUGCUUAAGGCACUUAAACUGUUUCAUUGACCUACAUCCCUGUCCCUUUUCGGACCUAAUUCCCUAUUUUACAAUAUAUAAAUAUUAGAAACUUCAGUUCUAUUUACAGGACAUUGAUAUGACUGGAUGGACAAUACAAGACGCAAUGCAACAGAGAAUUUUCUUUAGAUUCCACGAAUUUCAUCUCCGGUCAAGUGAAACAAUUAAGGUUUGGACAAGUCUGCACAAAGAUCUUCUUGAAGCCGAUGAGCUUUUUACAAACGAUUGCGAAGAUUGGAGCAAUCUUGGGGGAAUACUGGUUUGUGAUGCCAAAGGAAAUGUUAUGGCUACGCUUUGAAUGGCUGAUGACACAGUUGACUCUUACAAUUAGAAAAUGUAAAUAGAGAUGUCCUUUUCACUUCACUGACGGACUUGACGGACUAUGAUAUAUAAUGAAUUUAAGAAUACUGUGGUUUUGUGUAUUGUUUUACUUUUUCAUGAUUCAAUAUUUGUUAAGCAGACUAUAUUGUAGCGGUUGUGACGCUUGCACUUAAUGUUAUGCUUUGGUUUAUUGGCAUGCUCAUUUUAUAUAAUUUUGUGUAUUUUUGUGUAAGUUUUUUUUUUUUUAACAUAAAUUAUGCCUUUUUUUUACUACUUAUAAUGUUUGAUUAACUUUGUAAACGGAGGUGGGUGGAUGUGGAAUUCAGAGUAAACAAACUGUCUUCGGACCAGCUUGGAACUUCAAAACUUGAAAUUCUGAUCAUAAUGAUAUCAGUUAUCACGCUAAUAUAAAUUUCAGACCUUAAUUGAGACUUAUAAAUUUAAUCCUUGAAAAAGUGAAAAGUUAAAAAAAUGGUGGAUAUUUUUCAUAGUCAUUUAGUGUUGUACAAAAAAUUUUCAAGUCACAUACUAGUAUCUUUGUCAUUAUUAUGGUGUAAGGUUAUGCAUUGUUCUUCAUAUGUUUUUCUCUAAAGCUAUGCACAUUAUCUGUUAUUACGUAAGCAAUUAUAAUUUGCUGUUCUUUGUAUUACCAACUAAUAUCUUUAUUAAUAUCUUUUAGAGGAGAAAAUUUAUUAAUAUUUGUAGAAAUUGUUGCCCGACCUUUUUGGCAUUUUUCUUUCCGUCUGUUAUAUUGAGUGGAUGCAUUCUAUGUGUGAAAUAGAUAUCAAAUAAAAUAUCAUACCUCAUGUUUUUAUUUCGAUGUAAAUGAGGUGUGAAUCCAAAUUUUUAAAAACUGUUAAGCGCCAUAUAACCUAUAUUGUGUUGGUGCGCCGUAAAACCUAAAAUAUAAUAAAUCAUCUCCCGCACUCGUAAUGGAUGUUAUUCCUCUGUGUACUCUUUAUUUUUAAGCUCUAUCGUGUAAAGAACUUAAAGACAAAAAUGAAGAGGGAAAAACCAUCAAAAAACAAAUUGACUAGAUAUCUAAACAAUUUUGCCCAAUUUAACUUUGUUGGAUUUGUUUUGGACACGCCAAAAGUUUAGUGUCAAAUAAAACUCUUAAAAUAAAUACACGAUAAAGUAAAAACAUACUGGAUUUUUUUCGUUA
rnacentral:lncRNA from 1 species